UUUGGUGGUGAUCAGACCAUUCACAUUUUUGCAGGAAUAUUUAUCAGUUUUUGACCAAAUUUUCCCUCUGUACACAGACCACAUGAAUACUCUGUUUCAUCAUUACUCUUAGACUGGGCUUCUGUGUCUGUCAUCACUCUUUGACCAGAGUGCAGACCGGUAUCUGUUUACUCCCAGUGGCCUAUCCACACAUUAGAGACUACCAAACUCCGUUUCAACAAGGCACUACAGAGGGUAGUGCAUAAGGCCCAGUACAACACUGGGGCUGAGCUCCCUGCCAUCCAGGACCUCUAUACCAGGGGAUGUCAGAGGAAGCCCCUAAAAAUUGCCACCCAAGUCAUAGACUGUUCUCUCUGCUACCGCACAGUAAGUGGUACGGAUGCACCAAGUCUGGAACCAACAGGACCCUGAAAAGUGUCUAGCCCAAAGCCAUAAGACUGCUAAAUAGUUAGUCCGGGUAGCUAUUGGUUAACUAUUUAACUAUCUGCAUUGACCCUUUUUGCAUUAACUCGUUUGACAUUACAUACACAUCUGCUACUGUUUAUUAUCUAUCCUGUUGCCUGUACAUAUCUAUCUCAAUUACCUUGUACAACUGCACAUCAACUCGGUACUGGUACUGCUUGUAUAUACAGUAGCCACAUUAUCGUUACUCAUUGUGUAUUUAUUCCUAGUGUUAUUAUUUUUCUUUUCUUUUUUCUUUUUUUCUCUGCAUUUUUGGGAAGGGACCAUAAGUAAGCAUUUCAGUUGGUCUACAUCAGUUGUUUACGAAGCGUUUGACAAAUACAAUACAAUCAGAUCAUCAACGAUGUUAACAAUGCCAUUGUAUUUAGGUUAAAGGUGAAAAGUUGAAAAAAUAAAAACGUUCCAGAAAUUC